rnacentral:tRNA from 1 species
GUCUCACUGGCGCAAUGGUCAGUGUGUCCCACCUCAAAAUAUAAAAUAUAUUUCUGACGUCUCAAAAGGUAGCGUGUUAGACUCCUAUGAUUAGUCUUGGAUUCACAAUCUAAAGGUUGUGGGUUCGAGUCCCACGUGAGAUG